rnacentral:rRNA from 1 species
CCAGACAGCCAGGAUGUUGGCUUAGAAGCAGCCAUCAUUUAAAGAAAGCGUAAUAGCUCACUGGUCGAGUCGGCCUGCGCGGAAGAUGUAACGGGGCUAAACCAUGCACCGAAGCUGCGGCAGCGACGCUUAUGCGUUGUUGGGUAGGGGAGCGUUCUGUAAGCCUGUGAAGGUGUACUGUGAGGUAUGCUGGAGGUAUCAGAAGUGCGAAUGCUGACAUAAGUAACGAUAAAGCGGGUGAAAAGCCCGCUCGCCGGAAGACCAAGGGUUCCUGUCCAACGUUAAUCGGGGCAGGGUGAGUCGACCCCUAAGGCGAGGCCGAAAGGCGUAGUCGAUGGGAAACAGGUUAAUAUUCCUGUACUUGGUGUUACUGCGAAGGGGGGACGGAGAAGGCUAUGUUGGCCGGGCGACGGUUGUCCCGGUUUAAGCGUGUAGGCUGGUUUUCCAGGCAAAUCCGGAAAACUAAGGCUGAGGCGUGAUGACGAGGCACUACGGUGCUGAAGCAACAAAUGCCCUGCUUCCAGGAAAAGCCUCUAAGCAUCAGGUAACCAUCAAAUCGUACCCCAAACCGACACAGGUGGUCAGGUAGAGAAUACCAAGGCGCUUGAGAGAACUCGGGUGAAGGAACUAGGCAAAAUGGUGCCGUAACUUCGGGAGAAGGCACGCUGAUAUGUAGGUGAAGCGACUUGCUCGUGGAGCUGAAAUCAGUCGAAGAUACCAGCUGGCUGCAACUGUUUAUUAAAAACACAGCACUGUGCAAACACGAAAGUGGACGUAUACGGUGUGACGCCUGCCCGGUGCCGGAAGGUUAAUUGAUGGG